rnacentral:rRNA from 1 species
AUCGAACGCUGGCGGCAGGCCUAACACAUGCAAGUCGAACGAGUGGCGGACGGGUGAGUAAUGUCUGGGCAACUGCCUGAUGGAGGGGGCUAACUACUGGAAACGGUAGCUAAUACCGCAUACCAUCGGAUGUGCCCAGACGGGAUUAGCUAGUAGGUGGGGUAACGGCUCACCUAGGCGACGAUCCCUAGCUGGUCUGAGAGGAUGACCAGCCACAAUGGAACUGGGACACGGUCCAGACUCCUACGGGAGGCAGAAGUGGGGAAGAUUGCACAAUGGGCGCAAGCCUGAUGCAGCCAUGCCGCGUGUAUGAAGAAGGCCUUCGGGUUGUAAAGUACUUUCAGCGGGGAGGCGUUACCCGCAGAAGAAGCACCGGCUAACUCCGUGCCAGCAGCCGCGGUAAUUC